rnacentral:rRNA from 1 species
GAUGAACGCUGGCGGCAUGCCUAAUACAUGCAAGUCGAGCUAAGCGGGGACGGGUGAGUAACACGUGGAUACCCUCCUCUCAGCCUGGGAUAACUUCGGGAAACCGGAGCUAAACCGGAUCCUUAUAGAUGGAUCCGCGCUGCAUUAGCUAGUUGGUCAGGUAACGGCUUACCAAGGCAACGAUGCAUAGCCGACCUGAGAGGGUGAGCGGCCAAACUGGAACUGAGACACGGUCCAGACUCCUAAGGGAGGCAGCAGUAGGGAAUCUUCCGAAAUGGGCGAAAGCCUGACGGAGCAACGCCGCGUGAGUGAUGAAGGUCUUCGGAUCGUAAAACUCUGUUAUUAGGGAAGCGGUACCUAAUCAGAAAGCCACGGCUAACUACGUGCCAGCAGCCGCGGUAAUUC